AUUACCCUAUGGCGACAGCAGAAGUAACGCAAGGAUCGCACCACCAGCUUCCUGAUAUGGGUCCUUCUUCGUAUCCACCACCAACAGGGGCCACACAGGAUACCUUUGAGGCGAGCUUCGAAGACUGGAGUCAGUUAUUUUCUACACCUAACCAGCAGGCCGAUCCUACCUUCCAGACACAUGUGGCCACCGGACGUCCAGGUAGAGACGUAGGGCCUCCAGACCGACACACCUACCCUACAGACCACGUCCACGCA